rnacentral:rRNA from 1 species
UACGUAGGGGGCAAGCGUUGUCCGGAUUUAUUGGGCGUAAAGAGCGUGUAGGCGGCCAGGUAGGUCUGCUGUGAAAACUCGAGGCUUAACCUCGAGCUGUCGGCGGAAACCAUCUAGCUAGAGUCCGGAAGAGGAGAAUGGAAUUCCCGGUGUAGCGGUGAAAUGCGCAGAUAUCGGGAAGAACACCCGUGGCGAAGGCGGUUCUCUGGGACGGUACUGACGCUGAGACGCGAAAGCGUGGGGAGCGAACAGG